rnacentral:rRNA from 1 species
UACGAAGGGGGCAAGCGUUGUUCGGAAUUACUGGGCGUAAAGGGCGCGUAGGCGGUGCACUAAGUCAGGCGUGAAAGCCCUGGGCUCAACCCGGGAAUUGCGCUUGAUACUGGUGCGCUUGAAUCCAGGAGAGGUUGGUGGAAUUCCCAGUGUAGAGGUGAAAUUCGUAGAGAUUGGGAAGAACACCGGGUGGCGAAAGGCGGCCAA